rnacentral:rRNA from 1 species
UAAGGAAUAUUGGUCAAUGGACGCAAGUCUGAACCAGCCAUGCCGCGUGGAGGAUGAAGGUCCUCUGGAUUGUAAACUUCUUUUAUCUGGGACGAAACUCUUCUUUUCUAAGAGGCCUGACGGUACCAGAUGAAUAAGCACCGGCUAACUCCGUGCCAGCAGCCGCGGUAAUACGGAGGGUGCAAGCGUUAUCCGGAUUCACUGGGUUUAAAGGGUGCGUAGGUGGGUAUGUAAGUCAGUGGUGAAAUCCCCGAGCUUAACUUGGGAACUGCCAUUGAUACUAUAUAUCUUGAAUACCGUAGAGGUAAGCGGAAUAUGUCAUGUAGCGGUGAAAUGCUUAGAUAUGACAUGGAACACCAAUUGCGAAGGCAGCUUACUAUGCGGUGAUUGACACUGAGGCACGAAAGCGUGGGUAGCAAACA